rnacentral:rRNA from 1 species
UACGUAGGGGGCAAGCGUUGUCCGGAAUCAUUGGGCGUAAAGCGCGUGUAGGCGGCUCGAUAAGUCCGCUGUGAAAGUCCAGGGCUCAACCCUGGGAUGCCGGUGGAUACUGUCGGGCUCGAGUCCGGAAGAGGCGAGUGGAAUUCCCGGUGUAGCGGUGAAAUGCGCAGAUAUCAGGAGGAACACCAAUGGCGAAGGCAGCUCGCUGGGACGUGACUGACGCUGAGACGCGAAAGCGUGGGGAGCAAACAGG